AAAUUCUAUCCUCUGCUGCAGAUCAUCGCCAAGUCCUACAGCCUGGGUCAUCUCCAUCACCAACGCCUACAGCUUGGGUCUGAACCGCUCUUCUCUACUUCAUGUUUACUGAAUUUACUGAAUGUGCGUAGUCUCUGAACCACUUCUUCCCUGAUUACUGAAUUUUAGUGAAUGUGAGAUGUACUCUUGUAAACUGAGAUGUACCCUAGUAAAGUGUGCUGUCAACAUCACUUCUAGUUUAACUGAAGCAAGCAUACAUCUCUGUCCAGUGUUAGCUAAGGGCUAAGAUAUCUCUGUCCAGUGUUAGCUAAGAGCUAAGAUAUCUCUGUCCAGUAUUAGCUUAGAGAUUGUUGCAAGGAGACAUAUCUAUCCAGUGUUAGCUAAAUUCUCUUGGUCUCACAAUUGGUCUAUCUAUGCGUUGGUCUAUCUAUGCGUUGUCCAAUGAAAAUAUGCAUACACUGUACAGCAACAUAUUGAAAACAUUCGUGUUUCAAUAUAACUGAAUUUUCUGUUACAUACACUCUACACUUCUUCUUUAGCUGAAUUUUCUGUUACAUACACUCUGCAUUUCUGCUUUAACUGAAUUAAUUUUUCAGCUUUUGUACAGCAGCAUACUGAAAACAUUCACAUAUUGACAAAUCAUGACAUUACAAUCUGAUAAAUCAUGCUUGCAAAAUCUGACCAUUUACAUAGUGAACAGAAUUUCAUUUAACAGUAUAUUCAUAGUGAGCUAGCCCCAGCUUGUUGCCCUUAUGGCAGCAAUGAUGAAAUCUUGACCAUUCAUCACCAUGUUUCUUUGAAGAAAGCAAGGAAGAAAAUUUAAAACAAAAGGGCCCAAGAAGGUUCGAACUGAUGACCUUCUGAUCUGCACACAAAUUACAAUUUCUGAAACUGUCAUACACAGGAAUUCUGCACGCCAUCCAAAUUGAUCACUGUGAAAUUUGUCAGUUACAAAUUCUGCACACAAAUCAACAGUGAAGUGAUUGAUUCCUCCCUGUGUUAAUUCUGCUAUACACUAGCCCUGUGAAGUGAUUUAUGGUUACUUCAAAAACAGAAACAAAAUGAUUGUUUCCAAUAAUACUGGAACCAAUUUGUCAGUAGCAAUUUCCUGCCUUGAUUACUUCAAAACAGCAACAAUUUCCUCCCUUGAUUGACUGAAAAUUGGGCAGGUGAUAUUGAUCUGAGUAGGAUUUGAUUAAUUGUUCUCUGAAUUGAUUGAUUCCUCCCUUGAUUGAUCUAGGCAGGUAAUAUUAGGCAGGAUUUGAUUAAUUAUUCUCGGAAUUGAUUGUCUCCUCCCUUAGUUGACUGAACUGAUGCAUAUGGCAGGAUUUGAUUGAUUGGGUAGGAAAAUUACCAACUCCUGCGGCGUCGUGGAAGGAACAGCGCCAGGGAAGGAGCAGCAGUGGCCCCUGCGCUGUCUGACGGACGGUCGAUAGUCGACAGCGUGCUUUGUGAGGUGCUUUGUGAGGUGUAGUGCGGGUUAUUUUGUGCUAAGGCGAGGGGGGUAAUUGCA
rnacentral:lncRNA from 1 species